UAAAACCAUAUUCAUUUAUAGAUAUCAUUCCUCACCACGUUUGGCAAUGUCCAGAUUAUUAGUAUUACAUGGAGAUAAUUGAUGUACUUUUAUGAUCUUUCAAAGGCUUUAGCUCACACUUUACAUUACAAUGUCUAUUUACAUGAUCUGAAAUGGUUAAACGGAGCACAAUUACGGUUAAUGCUGUUGCGAUUAACACGGACCCUGUAAUGUAAAGGGCUACUCUAGUUAACAGAAGCAAGAACAACAGAAGCAGUUGCGUUGGAAAUGAAACGCCUUUUCACAUACUAAAACAGCGCCGGAGAAUUAGUCUUGGGACCUUUCCAUUAGAUCUUUUUAGAGGGUUCUGUGAAUAUUUUAAGCAAAACGCUUAGUGGAAUGAAUAGUUAACUUGACUGCCGAUUUCAGCUUUCCUUCCAAAGAGAUUUCUCUUCAUUUAAGAGACUUGAAGACCAAGAAUCAGAUCGUCUUGUGUGAUUAUUCAAGUACGUUGUACAUUGCAAAACUCCAUCUUUUUAUGAAACUAGACCUUUUCCUGCAUUCGUUUGUUCUGCUUUUGAACACUAGUCCUGCUACUGCAAAAUCUCGCUCUAAUUUUUUAUUAAAUAUGACUUGAACUGUUUCUUUUGAGAGGAUUCAACAUGGAAUAUGCAGUUUUGACACAACUUUAUGAGUACGAAACGAAUUCAACCGAUUCUUCUGUAAAUUUCCAAACCAGCAGUAUUGCUGCCAAUAAAGUUUAUUCUGUUUUUUUGUGAUGUUUGUUUUGCGGUCGUGUCAAACCUGUGUAAGAGGAGAUUGAAGAGAUAUUGGUUUUUGUCAAUAAAUUCAGGUUUACUGUGUCCACUCACCCUUGUAUGUCUUUUGAAGCAUUAAAACUUUCCUGUAUGCAUGAAA